rnacentral:rRNA from 1 species
CAUUGUCGAAAUCGAACGGAAGAACGACCCGCGAACGGUCAUUGCGUACCCGAGAGGGCCCGCGGGCGCUAGACGCUCACGCGGCUCGCGUCGCGUCGACGCGGACGUUCUCGCGUCCGCGUCGUGCCGGCGGAAACACAUUGUCAGCACGGAUCGUGCCAAGGAGCUGCACGGAGGGAUGCGUCGUCCCGCGCCUACGGUCGCCCUCGAUGGUGGACGGGGGGCGGGGGACUCAUGCGAUCUCUGAUCAAGUCUAAAUGACUCUCGGCAACGGAUAUCUCGGCUCUUGCAUCGAUGAAGAACGUAGCGAAAUGCGAUACCUGGUGUGAAUUGCAGAAUCACGCGAACCAUCAAUUCUUUGAACGCAAGUUGCGCCCGAAGCCAUUCGGCCGAGGGCACGCCYGCCUGGGUGUCGUGAAUCCCCCCGUGCCCUUGGGCGCCCUCCCUCAUGCGCGCGCGCUGUUGGCUGGGAAACGCUCGGGCGCAGAACGUGGUCUCCCGUGGGAUCGGCACGCGUGGCGUGUCGAGGCGCGGUUGGCCGAAAAUCGAGAGCGGAGGUGACGGGCACCACGGCGUUCGGUGGAUCGAACGAGAUUGGCUGCGUCGUGGUCUCGUCACUCGUCUCCCUCAGGGCUUUGACGAUGCCGAGUGCGA